UGGGGUGCCGGGCGCACGUGCGGGGGAGGACGGUUGGGGGAAUGAGUGAGCUGCCCGUGUGCGAGGGAACCAAACAGUCACGUAGUGGGCGCGCGGAGAAACAAGUCUCCGACCCCGCCUCUUCUUCCCGGGGUGGCGGCUGUGGCUUGGCUGGGCCCCUCUUCUCUGACCCGGGCCGGGGGAGGCCUGUGCGCCGGGGACCUGCCUAGGCAGCCAGUCGGGCGCGGAAGCGGGGCAGGGCCCUGCCAGAGAGCGAGGGCAGAGAGGAGCUGGCGACUUUGAUCAGGGAACACCAUGGCCCACACUACCAUUUCUGCAGCUUUUGCUAUUCCUCAGUUACUGAGAGGUACUGCUCGAAUUUUCCCCACUCAUUCUGCAUUGUUACGGUUGAAGUACUCUGCUUUGUGUUCCUGCACAAUGAAUGGCACAAUGAAAUCCAAAAGGAAAACAGAUCAUCUGGAGAGAACGGCAAAUAACUUUCGACAGGAGGUUAUUUCUCCAGCAAAAGUGUGUGGCAUCACCAGUGAAUCUGAAACAGUUAAAAGACUUCGCUUGGCUGUCACAAAUAAGGAUUUUACUUUUAAAGCAGGACAGUGGGUAGAUUUCUUUAUUCCUGAAGUUGCCGUAGUUGGUGGAUUCUCAAUAUGUUCCAGUCCUGGUCUACUGGAACAAGAUGGAGUAUUAGAACUGGCAGUAAAACAUACUGUACAUCCUCCUGCUCACUGGAUUCACACUCAGUGCUCUCUUGACUCAGAAGUGGCUCUGCGAGUGGGAGGCAAUUUCUUCUUUGAUCCUCAACCUGCUGACUCCCCUGUAAACCUUGUGCUGAUAGCAGGGGGAGUAGGAAUCAACCCAUUGUUUUCCAUACUGCUACAUGUAGCAGAUCUUCAUAGAAAUCAAGAGAGUGAAAAAAUUGGGUAUAAAAUGGGAACAGUGAAGCUGUACUAUAGUGCAAAAAACACAAACGAACUCUUAUUUAAGAAUAAUAUCUUUGGUUUGAUGAACGAAUUUCCUGGAAAGAUCACAUGCAGUUUCCAUGUUACUCAACAGAGUUCACAAAUCUGUGAAGAACUUCAGCCAUAUAUCACUGUACACACACAUCCCUUCUUAAAGAUAAAUGGAAACAGAGGUCACCAAGAUCCAUCUUGCAUUUGUUUCCCCACAUUCAUGUAGGAGAGGAUAUUUCAGUGCUGAGGUAAUAACCCACAACAUCCUGGCAGACAUUCCAAACUGUUCUGAAAGCAAGAAAAUGGAAAGCUGUGCUAAUGUAGACAAACAGAGGAAGAGAUCCUGGAGUAUUAGUCCAGUUUUUCAACAAGUUAGUAGCAGAAGUAACAAAGCCUGACUGAGAACACAAGCGCACACAUUCACCAAGUGUGUGAAGAUAGCAACUCAGAAAAUUUACAAAUUCAGCUUUUAAGAAGCCCACAGUUCCCACAGGACCAGCAUUUGCAAGACUAAACCAGCACUUUGAAACUUUCAGGAAGUUUUCCAAGUCAGUCUGUGGACUAAAAAAUUCCAAAUUUAUAAUCUGAUCUGCUUGUGCUAAGCCAUACAUACAGUGCAGAAUCCAGAAGUGAUUUUACAGUACAAUGUUUUAAACACUGAGCAUUUAAAAGACCAAGUGAUAAACAGUGCAAGUAAGUAGCAAAACAUUCUGAGCCGUUUGUAUGAAAGUUUCUGGGGCAGAAUGCACAAGGCCAACUCCUACAACGCACAUCACAAGACUCAUCAUGACCACCAUUUUGGAGGAUCUAUGUUGACUAAUGCUGAAGGCUAUAUUUUGACUAGCAAUAAAAGUAACUAUGGUUUCUUGAAA